rnacentral:rRNA from 1 species
GUGACGAGUGGCGGACGGGUGAGUAAUGUCUGGGAAACUGCCUGAUGGAGGGGGAUAACUACUGGAAACGGUAGCUAAUACCGCAUAACGUCGCAAGACCAAAGAGGGGGACCUUCGGGCCUCUUGCCAUCAGAUGUGCCCAGAUGGGAUUAGCUAGUAGGUGGGGUAACGGCUCACCUAGGCGACGAUCCCUAGCUGGUCUGAGAGGAUGACCAGCCACACUGGAACUGAGACACGGUCCAGACUCCUACGGGAGGCAGCAGUGGGGAAUAUUGCACAAUGGGCGCAAGCCUGAUGCAGCCAUGCCGCGUGUGUGAAGAAGGCCUUCGGGUUGUAAAGCACUUUCAGCGGGGAGGAAGGGGGUAAGGUUAAUAACCUUAUUCAUUGACGUUACCCGCAGAAGAAGCACCGGCUAACUCCGUGCCAGCAGCCGCGGUAAUACGGAGGGUGCAAGCGUUAAUCGGAAUUACUGGGCGUAAAGCGCACGCAGGCGGUCUGUCAAGUCGGAUGUGAAAUCCCCGGGCUCAACCUGGGAACUGCAUUCGAAACU